CCUACGGGAGGCAGCAGUAGGGAAUCUUCCACAAUGGGCGAAAGCCUGAUGGAGCAACGCCGCGUGGGUGAAGAAGGUCUUCGGAUCGUAAAACCCUGUUGUUAGAGAAGAAAGUGCGUGAGAGUAACUGUGCACGUUUCGACGGUAUCUAACCAGAAAGCCACGGCUAACUACGUGCCAGCAGCCGCGGUAAUACGGAGGUGGCAAGCGGUAUACGGAUUUAUUGGGCGUAAAGGGCACGCAGGCGGUCUUUUAAGUCUGAUGGGAAAGCCUUCGGCUUAACCGGAGUAGUGCAUUGGAAACUGGGAGACUUGAGUGCGGGAGAGGAGAGUGGAACGCCAUGUGUAGCGGUGAAAUGCGUAGAUAUAUGGAAGAACACCAGUGGCGAAGGCGGCUCUCUGGUCUGUAACUGACGCUGAGGUUCGAAAGCGUGGGUAGCAAACAGGAUUAGAUACCCGGGUAGUC
rnacentral:rRNA from 1 species